rnacentral:rRNA from 1 species
GAUCCUGGCUCAGAACGAACGCUGGCGGCGCGUCUUAAGCAUGCAAGUCGAACGGCAAGAGGUAGCAAUACCUCCUAGAGUGGCGGACUGGUGAGUAACACGUGGGUGACGUACCCUUCAGAUGGGGAUAGCUAUUAGAAAUAGUAGAUAAUACCGAAUACGAGCACAGGGGUUAGAGAUCUGUGAGGAAAGGAGCUAAGGCUCCGCUGAAGGAAUGGCCUGCGGCCCAUUAGCUAGUUGGUGAGGUAAGAGCCCACCAAGGCGAUGAUGGGUAUCCGGCCUUAGAGGGUGAACGGACACAUUGGGACUGAGAUACGGCCCAGACUCCUACGGGAGGCAGCAGCUAAGAAUAUUCCGCAAUGGACGAAAGUCUGACGGAGCGACGCCGCGUGGAUGAAGAAGGCCGGAAGGUUGUAAAAUCCUUUGAAACUGAAGAAUAAGCGUUGUAGGGAAUGACAGCGUGGUGACAGUAGGUUUUGAAUAAGCAACGGCUAAUUACGUGCCAGCCGCCGC